UACGUAGGAUGCGAGCGUUGUCCGGAGUUAUUGGGCGUAAAGCGCACGUAGGCGGUGCGGUAAGUGUGGUGUGAAAUCUGCGGGCUUAACCCGCAGCGGUCGCUGCAGACUGCCGUGCUUGAGGGCUGGAGAGGAAGAUGGAAUUCCCGGUGUAGUGGUGAAAUGCGUAGAUAUCGGGAGGAACACCAGUGGCGAAGGCGGUCUUCUGGCCAGUUUCUGACGCUGAGGUGCGAAAGCUAGGGGAGCGAACGGG
rnacentral:rRNA from 1 species